rnacentral:rRNA from 1 species
UACGGAGGGUGCAAGCGUUAUCCGGAUUUACUGGGUUUAAAGGGUGCGUAGGUGGGUAGGCAAGUCAGUGGUGAAAUCUUCGGGCUUAACCCGGAAACUGCCAUUGAUACUAUUUAUCUUGAAUACUUUGGAGGUAAGCGGAAUUCCUGGUGUAGCGGUGAAAUGCGUAGAUAUCAGGAGGAACACCUGUGGUGUAGACAGCUUACUGGACCAUCACUGACGCUGAGGCACGAAAGCGUGGGUAGCAAACAGG